rnacentral:rRNA from 1 species
UACGAAGGGGGCUAGCGUUGUUCGGAAUCACUGGGCGUAAAGCGCACGUAGGCGGAUCUUUAAGUCAGAGGUGAAAUCCCAAGGCUCAACCUUGGAACUGCCUUUGAUACUGGGGAUCUCGAGUCCGGGAGAGGUGAGCGGAACUGCGAGUGUAGAGGUGAAAUUCGUAGAUAUUCGCAAGAACACCAGUGGCGAAGGCGGCUCCACUGGCCCGGUACUGACGCUGAGGUGCGAAAGCGUGGGGGAGCAAACAGG